GUGAGGAAUAUUGCGCAAUGGAGGCAACUCUGACGCAGCCAUGCCGCGUGCAGGAAGAAGGCGCUACGCGUUGUAAACUGCUUUUAACCGGGAAGAAACCCCAGGACGUGUCCUGGGUUGACGGUACCGGAGGAAUAAGCACCGGCUAACUUCGUGCCAGCAGCCGCGGUAAUACGAAGGGUGCAAGCGUUAUCCGGAUUCAUUGGGUUUAAAGGGUGCGUAGGCGGAGCGUUAAGGAAGUGGUGAAAUCCUGCAGCUUAACUGUAGACUUGCCAUUGAUACUGGCGCUCUUGAGUGCGCUUGAAGUGGGCGGAAUGUGCCGUGUAGCGGUGAAAUGCUUAGAUAUGGCACAGAACACCAAUUGCGAAGGCAGCUCACUAAGGCGAUACUGACGCUGAGGCACGAAAGCGUGGGGAUCGAACAGGAUUAGAUACCCGGGUAGUCC
rnacentral:rRNA from 1 species